rnacentral:rRNA from 1 species
CCUACGGGUGGCAGCAGUGGGGAAUAUUGCACAAUGGGCGCAAGCCUGAUGCAGCCACGCCGCGUGUGUGAAGAAGGCCUUCGGGUUGUAAAGCACUUUCAGCGGGGAGGAAGGCGUUAAGGUUAAUAACCUUGGCGAUUGACGUUACCCGCAGAAGAAGCACCGGCUAACUCCGUGCCAGCAGCCGCGGUAAUACGGAGGGUGCAAGCGUUAAUCGGAAUUACUGGGCGUAAAGCGCACGCAGGCGGUCUGUCAAGUCGGAUGUGAAAUCCCCGGGCUCAACCUGGGAGCUGCAUUCGAAACUGGCAGGCUAGAGUCUUGUAGAGGGGGGUAGAAUUCCAGGUGUAGCGGUGAAAUGCGUAGAGAUCUGGAGGAAUACCGGUGGCGAAGGCGGCCCCCUGGACAAAGACUGACGCUCAGGUGCGAAAGCGUGGGGAGCAAACAGGAUUAGAUACCCGUGUAGUC